AUUUUUUAUGGCCUGCUCAGCAUGAUUCAGUAAGAGACAUUUAGCAAAUAAGAUUGGUAGACUGUUAAGGAUCUUAAACAGUGUCUUAGCUAUUGUGUCACACCAAUGCUUUUUAAACAGGAAAAACAGUAUUCUCCAGCCCUUUUUAUUCAAAAUAUUAGCAGUCUGAAGUUAUGUUAAACAGUUAAUGGUUCUGCUUGUUUGUCUCAGUGAACCCCAGACCUUACACAUGAUAGGCAGGUGCCUUACCCCAGCCAGCUAGAACAUCUAGGAAAAGGGUUGCUACACCACAGAAGUCAAUCCAGGCAACCCAAACCUAGCACCCUCCAUUGGCCUGGCCAGCAGCUGAGCAGUGCAGGUAAGGAGCUUUUAAGGAUGAACACCCUGUUCUUAUCAUCUUCCAUCUAGUGCAAUCUCAGAAGCACGGAGUGCUGUCCCACACUGGGUGAUCCCCAAGCCUGUUCAGACUUGCUUUCUUCUGGGGCAAUGAUCAAGGGCUGGAAGCUAGGAGAUCAAAGCCUGGUUUCUUCUCUUAGUCCCACCUCAGCUCUGCCUAUGAAGCCAUCCCUCCAUCUGACCUCCAAAGAGCAGCCUUUGUUCAUUCCAUGCAGAUGUCCUGAAUGCACACCCUGUGCAAAGGGGCGUAAACUGAGCACUUGUGGUUUCAUCCAGUUCUGGAAGAAGUGGCUGUGCAAUGGAAGGAGCCACUGUGAAUCACCAGAGUGGGGGGAAAAAAUGCAGAUUGAAAUAAACAGAGAGGCAACUGGAAAUGACGAGCAUGAGCAGGCGAUGACUAAGGGACAGAUCAGUGCGUCAGACAAGGAGCUCUUAUGGAGGUGGCUUGGAGGUGGGCAGGAGACCGGAAGAAAGAGCUAUCAUUACACUUUCAUGAUUGUGUGCCCACGUCCACCCAUGCAAAAAAAGGAGGCACUGGCAUGUUGGAAGUGCUUUUUGCUGAAGAGAUUCUGUCCAGGUCCUUGUGUAAAGUGACUCGACUCUACACGUGUAUACUCUGAGUCACCUCCAGCUCCAUGAUGGUCACAAACCUACUUCCAGUGGUGUAGAGUCCAUCUACAUAGUCUCCCCUUGCCCACACUCUUGACUUCCUACCUGCCCAACGUCUACCAGCUGAAGGUAACCAGGGGAAAUAUACAGUUUGUUCCUUUUUUAAGUUUGUUGGGGUGGGGGCUCAGUGUUUAAGAGCACUGAAUGAAUGUUCUUCUGGAGGUCCUCGGUUCAAUUCCCAGCACCCACAAGUUGGCUCACAACCAUCUCUAGCUGUAGUCCCAGAGAAUCCGACAUCCUCUUCUGGCAUGCAAAUGUCCAUGCAGACAAAAUACUCAUAUGCAUAAAAUUCAUUAACAAAUAAACUUCUAAAACUAAAUAACA
rnacentral:lncRNA from 1 species